rnacentral:rRNA from 1 species
GAUGAACGCUAGCGGCAGGCUUAAUACAUGCAAGUCGUGGGGCAGCAUGAGUAGCAAUACUUGAUGGCGACCGGCAAACGGGUGCGGAACACGUACACAACCUUCCGAUAAGUGGGGAAUAGCCCAGAGAAAUUUGGAUUAAUACCCCGUAACAUAUAGAGUAGGCAUCUUCUUUAUAUUAUAGCUUCGGCGCUUAUUGAUGGGUGUGCGUCUGAUUAGGUAGUUGGCGGGGUAACGGCCCACCAAGCCUACGAUCAGUAGCUGAUGUGAGGGCACGAUCAGCCAGACGGGCACGGAGACACGGGCCCGACUCCUACGGGAGGCAGCAGUAGGGAAUCUUCCACAAUGGACGAAAGUCUGAUGGAGCAACGCCGCGUGAACGAUGAAGGCUUUCGGGUCGUAAAGUUCUGUUGUAAGGGAAGAACAAGUGCCGCAGGCAAUGGCGGCACCUUGACGGUACCUUGCGAGAAAGCCACGGCUAACUACGUGCCAGCCGCCGCCGUAA